CUCUCUCUCUCUCUCUCUCUCUCUCUCUCUCUCUCUACGAAGAUAUUUCAAAAAAAAAUUCUCGAAGAAAAAUUCGUUCGAUCGAUUCCAGCAAAUCGGUACGCUUUCGGGAUCAUGAGCAAGCAAUAAUUCUCUUUAAUUUCUUGGAAUGUUUUGAAUUCUUUGGAGCUCGAAGUUCAAAAAAGCGAGGGAUUCGGACUUCUGGAGGACAAUCUAACGUGAUUCUGCUACCCUCCUGAUUGAAGCCUUUGAGGAACAAAAAGUGUUUAAUUACCUUUCAGAAGAUACUUUCUGUGACUUACAUGAGCAUAAGUCUACAACAUUUCAGAAAUGAGGAAGUUCUUUUCCUUUAGAUCUUCAGCAUCCAGCAGUGCAAACAGCAACCCAACACCUGCAGUUCCUCCAUCUUCCAGCAAGGAGAACAUCUAUUGGGAGACACCAC